ensembl:snoRNA
GGCUCCCUUUUCGCCCGAGCCAUGGCUGGAGGCCAAGACCACCCCUCAAGGAUCAUUGUCAGGACCACCACGAGCUGGACAGCCUUGUUUUCCUACCUCAGAUGUAA